rnacentral:rRNA from 1 species
CAGCCGCCACGGGAACACGUAGGGUGCGAGCGUUAAUCGGAAUUACUGGGCGUAAAGCGUGCGCAGGCGGUUUUGUAAGACAGAGGUGAAAUCCCCGGGCUCAACCUGGGAACUGCCUUUGUGACUGCAAGGCUAGAGUACGGCAGAGGGGGAUGGAAUUCCGCGUGUAGCAGUGAAAUGCGUAGAUAUGCGGAGGAACACCGAUGGCGAAGGCAAUCCCCUGGGCCUGUACUGACGCUCAUGCACGAAAGCGUGGGGAGCAAACAGGAUUAGAUACCCCCGUAGUCCCUGUCUCUUAUAC